CGUGGAGGCCGGAGCCGUGUAACGCCCCGAUAUUUGCCGGGGUCACCAAGGCCAAUUUGGCCACGACACCGCCGAACGACGCGCGCGUUCCGCGUGUCCCGCGUUGCCGCCGUGCUGCCCCUUCCUUCUGCUGCUGCUCGCCCACUGCCCUCUCCUUCCUCUACUUUCUUCUUCCUCGAGCAGAGCUCGAAUGAGCUCGUGCGGCUCCCGUCCACCGGCCAAAUCCCCGGCCUCCGCCCCACCAUCUUCAAAUCGCCGCCAACCGAAGCUCCCUCACCUCUCUAGCUUCCUCCUCAGCCCCUCUGACAUGAGCCCGACCGCCGCACGGCCGGGAAACAAGGAUUCUCCGGCCGCCAGCCAUCCAUGGCCAUCGAGCUCCACCUCGACGUGGAACUCCUAGCUCCGGCCACCAUUUUCUUCGUCUAGCGGCUCAAAUCGAAGCUAGGUGAGGCACUAAUGCUCAUGCUCUCCUCAUUCCAGCGCGUUCCACGAGUUUCCGCGCUCGUUUCCGAGCCAUGCCGCCGCCGGCAUGCUGCUGCUCGUCGCGAGCCGGGCGCACGCGCCCCUGCGCCGCACCGCCGAGCGCCCCUACUCCGUCCGACCCUAAUGAAUCCUCCCAUGGCUUCCCCGUCGUCGACCCGCCUCGCCGUCGACGAGAGCGCCGCCGCCAUCACCGCCUGUGGUACUGCUCCCGUCGCCGGCCCUCUCCGGUCGCCCCCAACCCCAACCAAGCCCACCUACAGGUACGAUAGAUGAACCACGUGAAGGAUGUGAUAUUGGAACAGAACACGAAGACGAUGUUUGGUGGACAUAUCCAGAAGAGGCAAAGAACCAGGAGUACAUGCUUGGACCGGAAUACUCGCCAAGCAAGUGUCAUCUAACUAACACUGACUUAGUGUUAAUCCCAGGCAAGCCCCGGUGCAUGUCCGAUUAUUUUAAAUUAUGAUAUCUAUAUACGUUUUUAUUACUUGUGCAUUAUGUUUCAGGAGUUGAUUGGAACCCUAGUUGCAUGAUCCUUAGAUUCCUGGAGUUGUACUAGCAUGUAUAGGACGAUAGAACUGCUAUGCUUAAUAAGUUCUCGAUAGAAGACGAGUGACUUCUCGUCACUCCCGAGAUAUAGGAAAACUUUAGAAGCCGAGUAAUUGCCGGUUACUCGCAAGAUACAUUAUUGUCGUUAUACUUCAGUAAUUGAGAAAUGGAUUGAAA